AACGAACGCUGGCGGCAGGCUUAACACAUGCAAGUCGAACGAUGAAGGAGAGAGCUUGCUCUUUUUGGAUUAGUGGCGAACGGGUGAGUAACACGUGAGUAAUCUGCCCCGGACUCUGGGAUAAGCGUUGGAAACGACGUCUAAUACCGGAUAUGAAGCGUGGAGGCAUCUUCUGCGUUUGGAAAGAUUUUUUGGUUUGGGAUGAGCUCGCGGCCUAUCAGCUUGUUGGUGAGGUAAUGGCUUACCAAGGCGACGACGGGUAGCCGGCCUGAGAGGGUGACCGGCCACACUGGGACUGAGACACGGCCCAGACUCCUACGGGAGGCAGCAGUGGGGAAUAUUGCACAAUGGGCGCAAGCCUGAUGCAGCAACGCCGCGUGAGGGAUGACGGCCUUCGGGUUGUAAACCUCUUUUAGUAGGGAAGAAGCGACUGAAUUUAUUCUGAGUGACGGUACCUGCAGAAAAAGCACCGGCUAACUACGUGCCAGCAGCCGCGGUAAAAC
rnacentral:rRNA from 1 species